rnacentral:rRNA from 1 species
CAUGUUCUAGUAUAAUAACUUUAUAUUGUGAAACUGCGAAUGGCUCAUUAAAUCAGUUAUGAUCUACGUGACAAAUUCUUUACUACUUGGAUAACCGUGGUAAUUCUAGAGCUAAUACAUGCAUAAAAGCCCUGACUUCGGAAGGGGUGCACUUAUUAGAUAAAACCAACGCGGGGUAAAACCUGUUUUGUGGUGAAUCAUAAUAAUUAAGCGGAUCGCAUGGCCUUGUGCUGGCGACGGUCCACUCGAUUUUCUGCCCUAUCAUGGUUGAGAUUGUAAGAUAGAGGCUUACAAUGCCUACAACGGGUAACGGGGAAUUAGGGUUCGAUUCCGGAGAGGGAGCCUGAGAAACGGCUACCACAUCCAAGGAAGGCAGCAGGCGCGCAAAUUACCCAAUCCCGACACGGGGAGGUAGUGACAAUACGUAACAAUGCAGGGCCUUUAAGGUCUUGCAAUUGGAAUGAGUACAAUUUAAAUCCCUUAACGAGGAACAAUUGGAGGGCAAGUCUGGUGCCAGCAGCCGCGGUAAUUCCAGCUCCAAUAGCGUAUAUUAAAGUUGUUGCAGUUAAAACGUCCGUAGUCAAACUUUAGUCUUACCGACGUAAUGGCCUAGUCUUCAUUGACUAAGCUCGUUAUCGUUGGAGACUCCAUGUUUCUUGGACUCUUCUUGGCUUCGGUCUUGGAGGGCUCUUUGGAACAAUUACCAUGAGCAAAUCAGAGUGUUUAAAGCAGGCUUUUAUGCCUAAAUGUGUUAGCAUGGAAUAAUGAAAUAUGACUUUUGUCCUAUUUUCGUUGGUUUAGGAUAUCAAGUAAUGAUGAAUAGAAACGGUUGGGGGCAUUUGUAUUUGGUCGCUAGAGGUGAAAUUCUUGGAUUGACCGAAGACAAACUACUGCGAAAGCAUUUGACCCAGGACGUUUUCAUUGAUCAAGGUCUAAAGUUAAGGGAUCGAAGACGAUUAGAUACCGUCGUAGUCUUAACCACAAACUAUGCCGACUAGAGAUUGGGAGUGUUUAUUAUGACUCUCUCAGCAUCUUAGCGAAAGUAAAGUUUUUGGGUUCU